GCCGGAGCCUGGAACAUGUGAGGAGCUAUUUUGGUCAGAAUCCUGGGACAUGGGGAACAGAAGCUGACACAGGAUAUGUUAAGCAAACAAACAAAUGUAUUAGAAGAAUCUAGAAUAGCUCAUAGUAAAGAAGAAAAAGUUGAAGAAUCUAAGUUCUUAAAAGAAAAAAACAAUCGAAGAUAGGCUAGGAAUUUAGCUUGGAGGAAUCGUGCAGAUUCCUCUGUUCCGAGGCAACUAGGGUGAAAUUAUUGGAUCCAUUUUGCUUCUGUGUCACUGCUCUGGACACUGGGAUUCCAGGUCAAGACUAUCUGACAGGUCAAGCUUCAGCCAGGUGCCCAGCUUCACUUUGUUCCAGAUGUGGGGAGUUUCUGUGAUCUUUUCCUUGUAGAAAAUCAAAUCGGUUUUCCCAUCACGUUGUGUUACAGCAGCUUCAUUAGCAGGAAGAGAUUCGGUGCUGUACUGGGGAGCUAGCUACACAGAAGUAGUCCUAAGCGUGGUCAACUCAACAUCUCCAGCUCAGCCUCUUCCAGUUCGCUAUCUUCCAAAUUCUGAAUCCGCUUGCUGGACAUCUCCUCACCAGGACUCCCCGUGGAUGUCAUCUGAAAUCCAGGGAGGUUUUUAAAAGUGCCCGGGAUCACAAAGCUAGUAAUUGGUGAGUUUAAACUGGAUCCCACACCUACCGGAUUUCAAAGCAUGAUCUGUUUAUUAUGUUAGAUAUGAUGUUAGAUAUUAGUUAUUGAGAACUAUGAAGCACGAGUGUUACUUGUGCAAAGAGUCCAUGAAGGCUAAAUAGGAAGCCGACAGAGGCGUACGGAAGUCAAAAGAGAGUCUUUGUCUCAAGGUUCGCUACUUCCGUAAGGGGCACAUGGAGGAUAGCCAAGUGACAUCUGAUGAACUUAGUCAUGAGCAGCUUUGGGUCAGAAGGCCAUUCUGAAAGCUUAGAAACUACCCAAAACAAAGAGUUCUCUUCCAGUGACAUUAAUCCACCCUUUCAUAUAAUGAAUACUUGGUCCAUCCCUAUCAGCGUUUGAUCAUACAACCGAUGAAUUAUUCCUCAUCAUCUUAUGAAUUCUUAGUACUUUCAUCAAGGACUUCCAUAUCUAUUGAAGCAAAGAGAUUUCAAAGCUAUUGGAACAAGUUGAAAGAUACUGUGCACUGCACUUAAGUGCCUCUUCUAUAACCAGCAUAUUGUGGGCACAUGCUGAUCGACAAUUCAAUAUCCAUCUCGCCAUCAUUUCCUGUGGAGUGUCUGGUGAGAGUGUUAAAAGCAGGCACUCUCGGGACUCCACAAUCAACAAAUAGGCACCUGACCCACGCUGGAGCCAGGCUUUCUAAAGUGAAGGGAGAUGUUAGGACAAUGGGCAAAUGAUGGGUGGGCAGUGUUUGGGGCAGUGUACUGACCACAUCAUAGGAUGGAUCCUGGAGUAGCCCAUCCCAUCAAGGCACUUCUGCCCAGUUCUCUGCUCCAUCCUAAGAGUGGACAGAAACACAGCCAGUGAAUUUCUGAUGUGAAACAAUGGCAAGCUAAAGAUUCCCCUUGAUGAAGUAUGGUUAUUGAAGGAAGAUAGAAGGUAAGUUAGGUUCGUAGAGUAAACCCAGGCACAUGCUGGUAAGACACCAACUGCAUUAGCUGGAGAGAUGGAGCAGAGAGAGUAGAGCCAGAGUCAGAAGGGAAAGGCACAGGUGGCUUUAGUGGUCACUAGACACAAAUUGUGGGAAAUGAGAAGACUUCAAGAAUGCGAAAUAGGCAUCUCCCUGACUUCCUUUCUGCUCCUACGUUUACGUGAGUAGGGCUAACCACACUGGCUUAGAUAACCUAUGGAAGGGCUUAUCCUUAGAUAACAGUGAUUCUCUUUCUCAGCAGCCAUUAAUUGCCUGUAGUUCUUCACCUAGAGGUGGGACCUUGUGAAAUUUCCCCCAUCCACGUUGGCAUGACAACUUGUGAUAUCACUGGGCUGACCCUGUUUAAGUGACCAUAUUGUUAAGAUUGCAUGAGUGUAACUUCCGGGUCAUAUACAGAAAGACAUUAUCUCACGGCCAACCCCCUGGUCCGGACAUGCAGAAUCGGUGUUCUCCCUGUGCCUUUAGCUUUAGGUGCAGGAGUUGUGUUGGAGAUGUAUCAACUGAGCCUGGAAUCAUGGUCACUUGUGGCUUUCUGUAGCGAUCUCUGACUGCCGCAACCCAAAACUUCUUUGAUGAGGGGUGAGGGCUUCACUUAUAUGUGGGAAUAAGGGUAAAUAUCUAGAAUACAGUUAGAAAUUAUAUUGGUUUAAAGAAGUGGUGGUAGUCGCUUCCCUUUUAGGAUACAUGACUUCACCAGUAGUUGGGUAGGUUUACAGAACUAAGGAUGAAUUUCCUGCCAUUAAGUGGACUUUAAAUCCAAUUAAAGAGUUGUCGGUUGCCAAUCAGAGAGCUGUUGGAUUGGUAGAAUUAAUAUUGUGAAAAUGGCCAUCCUACAGGAAACAAUUUCCAGAUUCAGUAUAAUUCCAAUCAAAAAUCCUCAUGCUAUUCUGUACAAAAAUAGGAUAAAGAGAAUCCUAAAAUUCACAUGAAACCGCUCCAGAUUGCCAAAGUAAUUCAGAGCAAAAAGAGCAACCCUCGAGGGAUUACCAUAUCAGAUUUCAAGCUAUAUCUCAGAGCCGCAGUAAUAAUAGGAACAUGGGCAGCAAGUUCUUAUUUAUGAAGAAUGUCUUCUUCCAUCGCUGUCUUCUGAGUCUUGUGACACAUACAUCAUUUCCUCCUAAAAUAUUAUCCAGGAAACUUGGCAGGGGAUACAAAUUUCUCUUUCCCUCUUCUCUCCAACGGCCCAAGGAUAUGUGUUUAAGUAGGUUCUUGAAAACAGUCCUGGAGAGCAAGCCACACUCCAACAUCAACAAGCACACUCGAAGAAUGACUGUGUCUCCUAGGGCUACUUACCACGUCAGAAUUCCUACAGACAUGCUCACCUACGUGGCCACAGCCCACACAGUUCACACAGCCUUGCCACAUCUCCGUGGGAAGCUCUGUGCUGUCAGGUCCUGCUGCUUAGGAAAGGUGUUUGAGUACUGGUCUUCGUCAUGUGGAAAGAAUUCAACAGUGCUCGGGCAGGCAGCGAUGUGCUCAAUGGGCUGUGUUGUCCCCUCAACAAAAACUCACAGGACACGAGCGGACAGAAGCCUCUCUGAGUCAGAGCCCACUGCCUGCUUGUCCUUUGUCCUUUGAGCCAAUAAAUACAGUAACACCCAGACCUAUAAUAUCUUAUCUGCAGAAAAAUACGACAGUGGCAGAGCUAUGCACCUAAUCUCUGAGCCAGCCUCUACAAGAGCUUUCUAGAACCUUGGAAUUGAGGGACUCAUUUUUGAGAUGAAAAAAAAAAAAAAAAAAGAAAUGUUGAUAAUCUUGUUGGAGUCUUCUUCAGCUUCUCAUUUUAUAUAUCUUGGAAAUUGGUUACCUAAAAGGAAAACCAAACUGGUAGUGUUUUAAAUAAGCAUUUGAGUCAUACAUGGAAUAGCAUAUCUUAUCCAGUGACUUAUUUUUAUUUUAAAAAUUAUAUUUGAGAUAGGAUCUUGCUUUUUUUUUUUUUUUUUUUGGUAGCCCUACAUUGAAUUAGACUGACUGUAUGACUGUGAAUAAUCUUGAACUUGUGACCCUCUUCCUCUAUGUCCCAAGGGCUCGGACUUUAGAAGAGUCAAUGCCAUGCUAGGUUUACAUGGUGCUAGGGUUCAAAUCUAGUGUGUCAUAGACAAGCACUCUACCAAUUGAACUACAUUCCCUGAGCUGUUAUGUGGUAUUUUGAAAGAUAAAACAUGGUUUUAGAAUAUGCUAGACACUUUUGAAAGCCAGCUUUCUCAAAACCAUGAUAGUAGAUUAUCGAAGGAAACCAUGUUCUGUGGGCACCUGAGUUUUGGUUGUUGCUCUGUCUUUUUAAUGGGCAUUGGGUGUUUUGCCUAUGUGUAUGUCUGUGUGAGGGUGUCAGGUCUCAGAGAUACAGACAGUUGUAAGGUGCCAUGUAGGUGCUGGGAAUCAAACCGGGUCCUCUGGAAGAGUAGUCAGUGCUCUAAUCCAUUGAGCCAUCUCCCCAGCAUCAGGCAUCCAAGUUUAUAGACUAUUUUCCUGGGUAGCAGC
rnacentral:lncRNA from 1 species